rnacentral:lncRNA from 1 species
GAAAUUGGGGAUAUCUGCUAUUAUUAUACCUAUAUCCAUUUUGUCUCCACUUAUUUCCAUUUGAAAAUCUAUUGCCCCUAUUUGAUUAAUUAAAGACUUGACCCCUAAACCAACAAUCACAGAGGAAAUGUUCUAGCCUAUUGCAGAGGAAACAAUGGGGUAGGUUAGACCUUUGUUGCCUAGGUGUGUAUCCAUUCCUAGGUUUAUAGGAUCUCAAUGCUGCCAUUGCUUUAACUUCUUGUAUUUUGGUUUCCCUCAGUUUUCUAUUUGUUUCUUUCAGUUGAUUUCUGAAUUCUUCCACUAGGUCAUUUUUAUCACCAACCCAUUUUAUCAUCAACCCAUUCUUCCAAUCCCAUGGUCUCCCAGAUGUGCUUAAAGAAUUUGGAAGUGGCUGAAGAAAACAAUUAGAGGAAAAGCAAUUGGAUUUGGCCAACUAUUCCCAGAGGGUUUGUGGAACAUUUUAGCCUACGUCACGAUGACUGAACAACCACAAAGCACUUUGAGAUUUCUGAAGCAUUUCACUCAUGUUAUCUCAUAUGAUCCUCAAGAACCCAUUGAGGAGCUCUCCAAGACUAGAAAUUGCAGAGAAGGCAUUGAUCUAGAAAGAGAUCCCUAUACUGGUGAAGGCACAAGUCCAGUGAAACAAAACAAAUAAAAUGAAAUUUUUGACUCCAAGUCAUUCUUGCCAAUAAAUACUUUUCCUCAUUUGAUACCA